rnacentral:rRNA from 1 species
GAUGAACGCUGGCGGCGUGCCUAACACAUGCAAGUCGAACGGAGUCCAGCCUUUAAGACCUUCGGGUCAAAGAGGGGAAGACUGAGUGGCGGACGGGUGAGUAACACGUGGGCAACCUGGCUCAUAGAGGGGGAUAACAGAGAGAAAUUUCUGCUAAUACCGCAUAAGCACACACUACCGCAUGGCAGAGGGUGAAAAGAGAAUCGCUAUGAGAUGGACCCGCGUCUGAUUAGCCAGUUGGCAGGGUAAGAGCCUACCAAAGCGACGAUCAGUAGCCGAUCUGAGAGGAUGAACGGCCACAUUGGGACUGAGACACGGCCCAAACUCCUACGGGAGGCAGCAGUGGGGGAUAUUGCACAAUGGGGGGAACCCUGAUGCAGCGACGCCGCGUGAGUGAAGAAGUAUUUCGGUAUGUAAAGCUCUAUCAGCAGGGAAGAUAAUGACAGUACCUGAAUAAGAAGCCCCGGCUAACUACGU